AGUGAACGCUGGCGGUAGGCCUAACACAUGCAAGUCGAACGGCAGCACAGUAAGAGCUUGCUCUUACGGGUGGCGAGUGGCGGACGGGUGAGGAAUACAUCGGAAUCUACUCUUUCGUGGGGGAUAACGUAGGGAAACUUACGCCAAUACCGCAUCCCACCUACGGGGGAAAGCGGGGGAUCUUCGGACCUGGUGGGAUUGAAUGAGCGGAUGUCGGAUUAGCUAGUUGGCGGGUUAAAGGCCCACCAAGGCGACGAUCCGUAGCUGGUCUGAGAGGAUGAUAAGCCACACUGGAACUGAGACACGGUCCAGACUCCUACGGGAGGCAGCAGUGGGGAAUAUUGGACAAUGGGCGCAAGCCUGAUCCAGCCAUACCGAGUGGGUGAAGAAGGCCUUCGGGUUGUAAAGCCCUUUUGUUGGGAAAGAAAAGCAGCAGGUUAAUACCCCGCUGUUCUGACGGUACCCAAAGAAUAAGCACCGGCUAACUUCGUG
rnacentral:rRNA from 1 species